AGAGUUUGAUCCUGGCUCAGAACGAACGCUGGCGGCGUGCUUAACACAUGCAAGUCGAACGAGAAAGUUUUCUUCGGAGAAUGAGUAAAGUGGCGCACGGGUGAGUAACGCGUAGAUAACCUGCCCUGAUGUCUGGGAUAACCCUUCGAAAGGGGGACUAAUACCGGAUAAGCUGGUUGCUUAUAAGAGUAAUCAGGAAAGAUGGCCUCUGAUUUAAGCUAUCGCAUUUGGAGGGGUCUGCGUACCAUUAGCUUGUUGGUGGGGUAAGGGCCUACCAAGGCAACGAUGGUUAGCGGGUCUGAGAGGAUGAUCCGUCACACUGGCACUGAAACACGGGCCAGACUCCUACGGGAGGCAGCAGUGAGGAAUAUUGCGCAAUGGGGGCAACCCUGACGCAGCGACGCCGCGUGAGUGAGGAAGGCCUUCGGGUCGUAAAGCUCUGUCAGAAGGGAAGAAGUGCUAUAUGGUUAAUACCCAUGUAGUUUGACGGUACCUUCAAAGGAAGCACCGGCUAACUCCGUGCCAGCAGCCGCGGUAAUACGGAGGGUGCAAGCGUUGUUCGGAAUCACUGGGCGUAAAGGGCGCGCAGGCGGUUUGAUUAUUCAGAUGUGAAAGCCCACGGCUUAACCGUGGAA
rnacentral:rRNA from 1 species